rnacentral:lncRNA from 1 species
AGAGGUUAUCAACAAAUUAUAAGUUUACGGGUACCAUGAGGAUUUUUCAUGCAUUUAAACGACAGAAGUACAAGUGAACAGAUGACACAUUAAAGUGGCUGCAGAAGCUUGAAAAGUUAGAUAGAGCAGGGACAGUCAAAACUGUGGGAUAAUACUUCUAUGGUGUCCAGCAUGUCUAGUCAGGUUGACAGAAGUGAAAGAUGGUCUGAUGGUACAGUGAUGUACAAAUGAUACUCUUUAACAAGUUUAACAUGUCAAAGUGUAAAAUGUUCUGUGGAUUCAUAUGAUGAGAAUGCCAAAUUUGAUCUGUAUGACUUAAUUAAACACAGAUAUUUAUACCUUCAGGUA